CGAACAACUCGAAGUAACGUUGGUGAUAUCAAAUAAUUUUCAACAAAAUCUUUCAAUGCCGAACCUGUGGAAGAGCAAACAAAAGUAUAUUAUCAGAAAGUUGAUCAAGCCAAUAGAUACAUUCAUUUCAAGAACAAGCAUCAAAUCAAAUCAGUAGCUAAUCAAGCUUUUGGACUGUAAUUUUUGUCUCAUUGAAUUGAUUGAAAUGACAAUUACAAAGUCAAAGACAUUCCAAGGUUCCCGGAAAUAGUGGAAACGAAGAGCAAAAAUUUUGAGCAUGCAUUCAGCAGUGAAAACUGCAAUGAAAAAUAGGUUACACAUCUCAAGGAUGUGCUCCAUGAAAGCAGAGGCCUGGUAAUGGUCAAGGGACAUCACAAACAUGUUCAGCAUUAUGAAUAACAUUAUCAACAUAUCAAACUUUUUGUUUGUUACAAUGUCAAAAAUUAUUGCUUGAAGUUUAAACUGGAUAAUGAAGACAAGAAUGAGACAAGAAAUAAAUUAUUAGCCAUAAUUUACGUUUAACCCAAAAAUUAAUUGGCGAUCAAAUUGGUUUCUUCAUCAAGCUGUGUAAACGCCAAUUGAUCAACCAAGAAAUGUAAAAGAAAAGUUAUUCUCUCAACUUGAAUUGAACACAAUAACAAUGAAUUGUUGUAAAUUCAGACUAAAUCUUUUAUUUUCAUUUGAUAAUGACAAGCAGCUAUCAACUGAUUGAUUAUAGUGUGUUUAAUUCAA